UUGCUAUGAUGAGUGGUACAAACUAAUGAAAGUUUAUACAGCAAUUGCUUCUUGAAAUUUAAUCCUGAGCGGUUAUCUGAGCAA
rnacentral:snoRNA from 9 species